CUGGUGUAAGCUGUGGACUUCCACCGGCCCAAUAUUUUAAUGAUGUGCGCAGGAAUAUUCCUCUUUGAAGCGGUAGUAGCCGCUCCUAUUCGAAAUGAGUGACCAGAAUAUUUGGCGGGAUUUAGUCCCAACCUAACUAACAACGUUCUUACAUAGAGCAUGAACUUACUGAUAGUGAGGGUAUUACCGUAUAAUGCUAGCAGUGGUUGAUGUGGUGCUAUUGAAAUGGAAGAAAGGUAUUGGUCGAAGACUUUCACGGGGCAUCAUUUAUUACCAGUAGGGUAAUAGGUAAUAGUGACCGUCUG